rnacentral:rRNA from 1 species
GAUGAACGCUGGCGGCGUGCUUAAUACAUGCAAGUCGAGCGAACGGACGAGAAGCUUGCUUCUCUGAUGUUAGCGGCGGACGGGUGAGUAACACGUGGAUAACCUACCUAUAAGACUGGGAUAACGUCGGGAAACCGGAGCUAAUACCGGACAAUAUUUUGAACCGCAUGGUUCAAAAGUGAAAGACGGUCUUGCUGUCACUUAUAGAUGGAUCCGCGCUGGAUUAGCUAGUUGGUAAGGUAACGGCAUACCAAGGCAACGAUGCAUAGCCGACCUGACAGGGUGAUCGGCCACACUGGAACUGAGACACGGUCCAGACUCCUACGGGAGGCAGCAGUAGGGAAUCUUGCACAAUGGGGGAAAGCCUGACGGAGCAACGCCGCGUGAGUGAUGAAGGUCUUCGGAUCGUAAAACUCUGUUAUUAGGGAAGAACAUAUGUGUAAGUAACUAUGCAGAUCUUGACGGUACCUGAUCAAAAAGCCACGGCUAACUACGUG